GCCCCCUGGUUAGCCCUUCGGGGUCGGGAGAAAAGUUCAGAGAAUCCUGGCCAGCCUAUUCCAGCGGCUAGGAGGACGCCCCCAGUCGCCCUUUUCCCCGGAUAAAUAACUCGCGCGCUCGCUCCCUCCCUCCCUCCCCAACUGUCUCUGGAAUUCCCCAGGAUGAACCCCAAACGAGAAGGAAAAUGAGGAGCCCGGUAGCCAGCCGGCCCGCCAGGGUCUGGGGGUGUACGUUGGCGUUGGCGGAGGGCGGGGCCUGGCGGAGGGGGGUGCCGUGAAUGAGUCUUCGGGCCUUCCUUUCCCGAGAUCUUCGGCGCGAAGCGGCUCUUGCACGAUCUCUCGUUGAGCCGAUCUCUCUGGCCAGGGCGGCCUCCGCGGCUCUCCAGUCACCUAACACACACAUAUCUGCCCUUGGGAGCGUUUUCCCUUAAAGGACUCCAACUGCGAUUCUUGGGCGACCAACGCGACCGACACAAACAGAAUCCUCUUGUUGCGACUUGGCAGCCUGGCAUCGCUGACCAUCGUUACAGCGGAGCCGGGCCGGCUCGCCCUGCCCAUCCGCCCUCAUCAUCUCCCUCCAGACUGGCCUUGGCGGGUUUGGGUCCGCCUGCGGAGGGUGAGCCCUGGAAAGGGCGCUGAACUGUCUGCUCCACUUUACGGGUCCGCCGUGUCCCCGGAGCCGCAGUGUGUUUGCUCCGCGUUCUGGCCCGGGUGUGAGCCGGCCGCCGUCUGUUCUUGCUGGGGGCGCCCCUGGUAAGGUGAGGCACGUCCCCGUUCCUGAGCUGUUCCCAGUAGUUUCUCGGCCAGCUGGGCACGAUGGAUGGCUGGAUGGCUGGAUGGCUGGAAGGGCCGGUGAGGCGGCUGGUGGCUCCCCAGGCCUCGCUCCCCUUCCCAUCUGGAUGUCUUCCUCCAGGUAAAUAAAGAGCCGGCGGGGGUCACGGACCCCCCAGCAUAUGGGGACAAGCCUCCCUGGCUGCCUGCCUUCUUUCCCUUCCCGGUGCAGAUUCUUCCUUCUCCUCGGAGCCUUCCGCAGUCUUAUAAAGGAAAGCUCCGCUCCAGGGGAAGGCGGUGCAAGAUUGAGGCCUUCCGACUCCCCGGCCCCAUGUUCGAAGCCCCCCGGCGCUGGCCAGGGAAAUGCCGGCUUCAUAUCGGGGACGGAUUUGAGCAUUGGCGAGCCUCCCGUCGGCUUCUGGGUCGAAUCUAAGGAGAGCCUCGGGAGGUCGGGCGGACGAGGAGGAGCCUGGUGGCCUCCCCAUUCCGGUGCCACCAAACUCCAGGGAAACGGGAAUUAGGCAGACCUCCGGGCCGCCCUGAGCCCAGCCGGAGGACGGCCAAGGCGACGUUCCAGUCCUUUGAGAAGAGGCUGUCCGUCUCUGGGAAUUUCCGUUUGCCUUUUUUCUGGUUAAGUUUUAGGUCAUUUUAUCUCAUUUUGAAAAAUAAGGUUCAUUUUUUAAGCCUUUACCUUCCCUUUUACAAUACAUUCCCGUGUACUGGCUCCAAGGCAGAAGAGCAGUAAAGGCUAGCAAUGGGGGGCACGUGACUUGUCCAGGGUCACACAGCUAAGAAGUGUCUAAGAUCACAUUUGAACCCAGGACCUUCCACCUCUAGGCCUGGCUCUCUAUCCACUGAGCCACCUGGCUGCCCCAGAGAUGGCUGCUAAUCAUUUACCAGCACAGCCCUACUGUUAAUGAAUGACCGAAGGAAUUAUUUAAAGACUUACUCAAAGCUAGGCAGUCACACUGCUAAUAAAUGUCAGAGGCUGAGCUUGAA